GGCAAUGUUGAGCAGAGCCUCAGCUGGGGACCCGGACACCUGUGUUCCCACGGCCUGAUCAGUGGAGGCUCACUGUGACCCAUUGCUUAAGGAAAUGAAACUUGGGAAGAAAACCAGAAGAGAACACCCUGCCUCGAUUACGAGAACUGCCCCGAGCGGCAGCCGCAACCCGAGCUCAGCUGUCCCGUCUCCUGCCGCCACAGCCGGGGAUUUUGCCUCAACUGCCUGCUUUCUGAGAAAGACAACGUUCACGACACAGAGAGCUCCUGCCAACCCAGGGCUCCCGGACUCUCCAAGGCCCUCGGGUCCCAUCUCUAAAAGGGGGCUCUAAAGUCCUGCCUCAGAGGACUGGUGGCAAGAAUAAGAGAUGCUAAGGCAGGCAAGGUGGCACUAGCCUGUAACCCAGCCACUUGGGAGGCUGAGGGAGGAGGAUUUCAAGUUCAAGGCCAGCCUCAGCAGCUUGGUGAGACCCUGUCUCAAAAAACAAAACAAAAAAAAAACUGUGGGGCUGAGGUUGUGGCUCAGUGGUAGAGCGCUGCCUAGCAUGCAUGAGGCACUGGGUUCGAGCCGCAGCACCACAUAAAAAUAAAAUAAAGAUAUU
rnacentral:lncRNA from 1 species